GGCGGCAGGCCUAACACAUGCAAGUCGAGCGCACCCUUCGGGGUGAGCGGCGGACGGGUUAGUAACGCGUGGGAACGUACCCUUUUCUACGGAAUAGUCUCGGGAAACUGAGGGUAAUACCGUAUAAGCCCUUCGGGGGAAAGAUUUAUCGGUAAAGGAUCAGCCCGCGUUAGAUUAGAUAGUUGGUGGGGUAAUGGCCUACCAAGUCUACGAUCUAUAGCUGGUUUUAGAGGAUGAUCAGCGACACUGGGACUGAGACACGGCCCAGACUCCUACGGGAGGCAGCAGUGGGGAAUCUUGGACAAUGGGCGCAAGCCUGAUCCAGCCAUGCCGCGUGUGUGAUGAAGGCCUUAGGGUCGUAAAGCACUUUCGCCAGGGAUGAUAAUGACAGUACCUGGUAAAGAAACCCCGGCUAACUCCGUGUCAGCAGCCGCGGUAAUAC
rnacentral:rRNA from 1 species